rnacentral:rRNA from 1 species
ACGGGUGAGUAACGCGUUGGUGACCUGCCCCGAAGUGAGGGAUAACAGUCCGAAAGGACUGCUAAUACCCCAUGUGGCUGUGAGAGUUAGAGUUCUCACUACCAAAGGAGUAAUCCGCUUCGGGAGGGGCCUGCGUCCCAUCAGCUAGUUGGUAGGGUAACGGCCUACCAAGGCUAAGACGGGUAGGGGACCUGAGAGGGUGACCCCCCACACUGGAACUGAAACACGGUCCAGACACCUACGGGUGGCAGCAGUAGGGAAUAUUGCACAAUGGGCGAAAGCCUGAUGCAGCAACGCUUUUUUUUUGAUGAAGGCCUUCGGGUUGUAAAGUACUUUUAUGAGGGAAGAGCAAGGACUGUACCUCAUGAAUAAGGAUCGGCUAACUACGUGCCAGCAGCCGCGGUCA